rnacentral:rRNA from 1 species
UUCUGGUUGAUCCUGCCGGAGGUUACUGCUAUCGGUGUUCGCCUAAGCCAUGCGAGUCAUAUGUUCUUCGUGAACAUGGCGUACUGCUCAGUAACACGUGGAUAACCUGCCCUUGGGUCUGGGAUAACCCCGGGAAACUGGGGAUAAUACCGGAUAACGCAUAUAUGCUGGAAUGCUUUAUGCGUAAAAUGGAUUCGUCUGCCCAAGGAUGGGUCUGCGGCCUAUCAGGUAGUAGUGGGUGUAAUGUACCUACUAGCCUACAACGGGUACGGGUUGUGAGAGCAAGAGCCCGGAGAUGGAUUCUGAGACAUGAAUCCAGGCCCUACGGGGCGCAGCAGGCGCGAAAACUUUACAAUGCGGGAAACCGUGAUAAGGGGACACCGAGUGCCAGCAUCAUAUGCUGGCUGUCCAGAUGUGUAAAAUACAUCUGUUAGCAAGGGCCGGGCAAGACCGGUGCCAGCCGCCGCGGUAACACCGGCGGCCCGAGUGGUGAUCGUGAUUAUUGGGUCUAAAGGGUCCGUAGCCGGUUUGGUCAGUCCUCCGGGAAAUCUGAUGGCUCAACCAUUAGGCUUUCGGGGGAUACUGCCAGGCUUGGAACCGGGAGAGGUAAGAGGUACUACAGGGGUAGGAGUGAAAUCUUGUAAUCCCUGUGAGACCACCUGUGGCGAAGGCGUCUUACCAGAACGGGUUCGACGGUGAGGGACGAAAGCUGGGGGCACGAACCGGAUUAGAUACCCGGGUAGUCCCAGCCGUAAACGAUGCUCGCUAGGUGUCAGGCAUGGCGCGACCGUGUCUGGUGCCGCAGGGAAGCCGUGAAGCGAGCCACCUGGGAAGUACGGCCGCAAGGCUGAAACUUAAAGGAAUUGGCGGG